GCCUACAACCGGAUCGCGCUGAAUGAACCUGAUCUGAUUGGGGCUCAGAAGCCUAACCGGGGUCGAGUCCGGUUAGCACUUGGAUACUACCACCCGCUUGGAAAUACCCUGUGCUGUAGGUG
rnacentral:rRNA from 1 species